rnacentral:rRNA from 1 species
AGAGUUUGAUCCUGGCUCAGAACGAACGCUGGCGGCGCGCCUAAUACAUGCAAGUCGAGCGAGAAGGUGUAGCAAUACACUUGUAAAGCGGCGAACGGGUGAGGAAUACAUGGGUAAUCUACCAUCGAGUGGGGAAUAACCAACCGAAAGGUUGGCUAAUACCGCGUACGCCUCCGAAUCUUCGGGUUCGGAGGGAAAGCUGCACUGUGAGUGUAGCGCUCUUUGAUGAGCUCAUGUCCUAUCAGCUUGUUGGUAGGGUAACGGCCUACCAAGGCUUUGACGGGUAGCUGGUCUGAGAGGACGAUCAGCCACACUGGCACUGCGACACGGGCCAGACUCCUACGGGAGGCAGCAGUAAGGAAUAUUGCGCAAUGGGCGAAAGCCUGACGCAGCGACGCCGCGUGGGGGAUGAAGGUCUUCGGAUUGUAAACCCCUUUCGGGAGGGAAGAUGGAGCGAGCAAUCGUUCGGACGGUACCUCCAGAAGCAGCCACGGCCAACUUCGUGCCAGCAGCCGCGGUAAUACGAAGGUGGCAAGCGUUGUUCGGAUUCACUGGGCGUACAGGGUGUGUAGGCGGUUUGGUAAGCCUUCUGUUAAAGCUUCGGGCCCAACCCGGAAAGCGCAGAGGGUACUGCCAGGCUAGAGGGUGGGAGAGGAGCGCGGAAUUCCCGGUGUAGCGGUGAAAUGCGUAGAGAUCGGGAGGAAGGCC